GACGAACGCUGGCGGCGUGCUUAACACAUGCAAGUCGAACGGAAAGGCCCUGCUUUUGUGGGGUGCUCGAGUGGCGAACGGGUGAGUAACACGUGAGUAACCUGCCCUUGACUUUGGGAUAACUUCAGGAAACUGGGGCUAAUACCGGAUAGGAGCUCCUGCUGCAUGGUGGGGGUUGGAAAGUUUCGGCGGUUGGGGAUGGACUCGCGGCUUAUCAGCUUGUUGGUGGGGUAGUGGCUUACCAAGGCUUUGACGGGUAGCCGGCCUGAGAGGGUGACCGGCCACAUGGGGACUGAGAUACGGCCCAGACUCCUACGGGAGGCAGCAGUGGGGAAUAUUGCACAAUGGGCGGAGGCCGGAUGCAGAAACGCCGCGUGCGGGAGGACGGCCUUCGGGUGGUAAACCGCUUUCGCCUGUGACGAAGCGUGAGUGACGGUAAUGGGUAAAGAAGCACCGGCUAACUACGU
rnacentral:rRNA from 1 species